rnacentral:rRNA from 1 species
AGAGUUUGAUCAUGGCUCAGGCGAACGCUUGCGGCGUGCCUAAGAAAUGCNAGUCGAGCGGGAAUGCUUCGCAUCGAGAUGAUAGAGGGUAGAGGGGAGAUGGCAGAGCUUCUUGCAUCUUUCAUCUUCCAUCUUGUCAUCUGGAUGCGGAGCAAACUAGCGGCGAACGGUCGCGUNACACGUAGGCAACCUGCCUCAAAGUCCGGGACUACAUUCCGAAAGGGGUGCUAAUACCGGUUGUGGCCUGCGGGGGGCAUCCUCUGCAGAUUAAUCCGAGCAAUCGGCUUUGGGAGGGGCUUGCGGCCUAUCMGCUAGUUGGUGGGGUMGCGGCCUACCAGGGCGNCGACGGGUAGCUGGUCUGAGAGGRCGAUCAGCCGGACUGGGUCUGAGAUGCGGCCCAGACUCCU